GAUGAACGCUGGCGGCGUGCCUAAUACAUGCAAGUCGAGCGAACGGACGAGAAGCUUGCUUCUCUGAUGUUAGCGGCGGACGGGUGAGUAACACGUGGAUAACCUACCUAUAAGACUGGGAUAACUUCGGGAAACCGGAGCUAAUACCGAAUAAUAUUUUGAACCGCAUGGUUCAAAAGUGAAAGACGGUCUUGCUGUCACUUAUAGAUGGAUCCGCGCUGCAUUAGCUAGUUGGUAAGGUAACGGCUUACCAAGGCAACGAUGCAUAGCCGACCUGAGAGGGUGAUCGGCCACACUGGAACUGAGACACGGUCCAGACUCCUACGGGAGGCAGCAGUAGGGAAUCUUCCGCAAUGGGCGAAAGCCUGACGGAGCAACGCCGCGUGAGUGAUGAAGGUCUUCGGAUCGUAAAACUCUGUUAUUAGGGAAGAACAUAUGUGUAAGUAACUGUGCACAUCUUGACGGUACCUAAUCAGAAAGCCACGGCUAACUACGUGCCAGCAGCCGCGGUAAUACGUAGGUGGCAAGCGUUAUCCGGAAUUAUUGGGCGUAAAGCGCGCGUAGGCGGUUUUUUAAGUCUGAUGUGAAAGCCCACGGCUCAACCGUGGAGGGUCAUUGGAAACUGGAAAACUUGAGUGCAGAAGAGGAAAGUGGAAUUCCAUGUGUAGCGGUGAAAUGCGCAGAGAUAUGGAGGAACACCAGUGGCGAAGGCGACUUUCUGGUCUGUAACUGACGCUGAUGUGCGAAAGCGUGGGGAUCAAACAGGAUUAGAUACCCUGGUAGUCCACGCCGUAAACGAUGAGUGCUAAGUGUUAGGGGGUUUCCGCCCCUUAGUGCUGCAGCUAACGCAUUAAGCACUCCGCCUGGGGAGUACGACCGCAAGGUUGAAACUCAAAGGAAUUGACGGGGACCCGCACAAGCGGUGGAGCAUGUGGUUUAAUUCGAAGCAACGCGAAGAACCUUACCAAAUCUUGACAUCCUUUGACAACUCUAGAGAUAGAGCUUUCCCCUUCGGGGGACAAAGUGACAGGUGGUGCAUGGUUGUCGUCAGCUCGUGUCGUGAGAUGUUGGGUUAAGUCCCGCAACGAGCGCAACCCUUAAGCUUAGUUGCCAUCAUUAAGUUGGGCACUCUAAGUUGACUGCCGGUGACAAACCGGAGGAAGGUGGGGAUGACGUCAAAUCAUCAUGCCCCUUAUGAUUUGGGCUACACACGUGCUACAAUGGACAAUACAAAGGGCAGCGAAACCGUGAGGUCAAGCAAAUCCCAUAAAGUUGUUCUCAGUUCGGAUUGUAGUCUGCAACUCGACUACAUGAAGCUGGAAUCGCUAGUAAUCGUAGAUCAGCAUGCUACGGUGAAUACGUUCCCGGGUCU
rnacentral:rRNA from 1 species